rnacentral:pre_miRNA from 1 species
ACGCGCCACGUUUGUGAAUGACAGGCAAAGGGCGCCGAAUCCGGCGCCCUUUGCCUGUCAUUUACUUGUCUGUA